GAUGAACGCUGGCGGCGUGCUUAACACAUGCAAGUCGAACGAACCUUCGGGUUAGUGGCGGACGGGUGAGUAACGCGUGGGAAUCUGCCCUCAGGAGGGGGAUAACGGCUGGAAACGGCCGCUAAUACCCCAUAUGCCGAGAGGUGAAAUGAAUUUCGCCUGAGGAUGAGCCCGCGUCUGAUUAGCUAGUUGGUGAGGUAAGAGCUCACCAAGGCAUCGAUCGGUAGCUGGUCUGAGAGGAUGAUCAGCCACACUGGGACUGAGACACGGCCCAGACUCCUACGGGAGGCAGCAGUGGGGAAUUUUCCGCAAUGGGCGAAAGCCUGACGGAGCAACGCCGCGUGAGGGAUGAAGGCCUCUGGGCUGUAAACCUCUUUUCUCAAGGAAGAAGAUCUGACGGUACUUGAGGAAUAAGCCACGGCUAAUUCCGUGCCAGCAGCCGCGGUAAUACGGGAGUGGCAAGCGUUAUCCGGAAUUAUUGGGCGUAAAGCGUCCGCAGGCGGCCCUUCAAGUCUGCUGUUAAAACGUGGAGCUUAACUCCAUCAUGGCAGUGGAAACUGUUGGGCUUGAGUGUGGUAGGGGCAGAGGGAAUUCCCGGUGUAGCGGUGAAAUGCGUAGAUAUCGGGAAGAACACCAGUGGCGAAGGCGCUCUGCUGGGCCAUAACUGACGCUCAUGGACGAAAGCCAGGGGAGCGAAAGGGAUUAGAUACCCCUGUAGUCCUGGCCGUAAACGAUGAACACUAGGUGUCCGGGGGAAUCGACCCCCUCGGUGUCGUAGCCAACGCGUUAAGUGUUCCGCCUGGGGAGUACGCACGCAAGUGUGAAACUCAAAGGAAUUGACGGGGGCCCGCACAAGCGGUGGAAGUAUGUGGUUUAAUUCGAUGCAACGCGAAGAACCUUACCAGGGUUUGACAUCCUGCGAACCUCUUGGAAACGAGAGG
rnacentral:rRNA from 1 species